rnacentral:rRNA from 1 species
UACGUAGGGUGCAAGCGUUAAUCGGAAUUACUGGGCGUAAAGCGUGCGCAGGCGGUUGUGCAAGACCGAUGUGAAAUCCCCGGGCUCAACCUGGGAAUGGCAUUGGUGACUGCACGGCUAGAGUGUGUCAGAGGGGGGUAGAAUUCCACGUGUAGCAGUGAAAUGCGUAGAGAUGUGGAGGAAUACCGAUGGCGAAGGCAGCCCCCUGGGAUAACACUGACGCUCAUGCACGAAAGCGUGGGGAGCAAACAGG